GAUCUCCUACGGGAGGCAGCAGUGGGGAAUAUUGACAAUGGGCGCAAGCUUGAUCCAGCCAUGCCGCGUGUGUGAAGAAGGCCUUCGGGUUGUAAAGCACUUUCAGCGAGGAGGAAAGGUUGUAGCUUAAUACGCUGCAGCUGUGACGUUACUCGCAGAAGAAGCACCGGCUAACUCCGUGCCAGCAGCCGCGGUAAUACGGAGGGUGCGAGCGUUAAUCGGAAUUACUGGGCGUAAAGCGCACGCAGGCGGUUUGUUAAGCUAGAUGUGAAAGCCCCGGGCUCAACCUGGGAUGGUCAUUUAGAACUGGCAGACUAGAGUCUUGGAGAGGGGAGUGGAAUUCCAGGUGUACGCGGUGAAAUGCGUAGAUAUCUGGAGGAACACCAGUGGCGAAAGCGACA
rnacentral:rRNA from 1 species